UACGUAGGGUGCGAGCGUUAAUCGGAAUUACUGGGCGUAAAGCGUGCGCAGGCGGUUUUGUAAGCCAGAUGUGAAAUCCCCGGGCUCAACCUGGGAAUGGCAUUUGGGACUGCAACGCUGGAGUGCGGCAGAGGAGACUGGAAUUCCUGGUGUAGCAGUGAAAUGCGUAGAGAUGUGGAGGAACACCGAUGGCGAAGGCAGCCCCCUGGGCCAAUACUGACGCUCAUGCACGAAAGCGUGGGGAGCAAACAGG
rnacentral:rRNA from 1 species